rnacentral:misc_RNA from 1 species
AAAGUCGUAACAAGGUCUCCGUAGGUGAACCUGCGGAGGGAUCAUUAACACGUAUCCACGUAUAACACCCGCGAAUUGUAUUGUUCCGCAUCUGCUUCCAGAUAAAAAGCCAGUGGAUUUCGGUGACGCGAGGACUUCACGGUCUUAGCGUGUCCAUGUGGCCCGCUUUCUCGUCGCAAGACUUGAAAGGUAAGGAUUCAGAUGUGCUAGUCCACCGUGUUCGUACAAAAUCUUUUAACGCAUGAAACUUUAUUGUCUAAUCUUCUUAUUGAACGGGCUAACGCCUGCUCAACUGAAAAAAUAAAAACUAAAGCACAACUCUUAGCAACGGAUAUCUUGGUUCUC